AUCCUCCAAGGCUAAAUACUCCUGACUGACCGAUAGUGAACCAGUACCGUGAGGGAAAGGCGAAAAGAACCCCGGCGAGGGGAGUGAAAAAGAACCUGAAACCGUGUACGUACAAGCAGUGGGAGCCUCUUUUAUGGGGUGACUGCGUACCUUUUGUAUAAUGGGUCAGCGACUUAUAUUCUGUAGCAAGGUUAACCGUAUAGGGGAGCCGGAGGGAAACCGAGUCUUAAUUGGGCGUUAAGUUGCAGGGUAUAGACCCGAAACCCGGUGAUCUAGCCAUGGGCAGGUUGAAGGUUGGGUAACACUAACUGGAGGACCGAACCGAC
rnacentral:rRNA from 1 species